rnacentral:lncRNA from 1 species
AUAUGUGAAGGUGUGGCCUCAUGAAACCACAGCACACUGUUAGGAGCUACCAGCCUGUCACAAGUGGGUGUGAAGGUUGCCUAGAGGAGACUACCAGGAGAUAACACUGAAGGGGUGGAUUAGGAAAGCCCUUGUGCACCAUCUUGAACUUUACCUUGAAUGCAAUGGAGAGCUGUGAAAGGGCUUUAAGCAAGGCCCAGGCCUCACUGAAUCUGUGGUUUAGAAAGAACUCUCUGGUUACAAGAUGGAGCAUGGAUGCAAGCGAGUGAAGGUGAGAGAUGAUGCAGUGGGUCCCCAUCAGUGUUGGAUAUGAUUCCUCAGGUGAGUUCUGACUUAGCUUGUGACUCCACCAAUGACCACAGCUGAGCCUCUACUCAGACGGGCCUUCUCUGUCCUUCAGCCUAAAGAACCAACCUCACCUCAUCAUUUUCCAUCAAGCUGCUAUGAUUUGCUUUCUUAAUAGCACCUGUGGCCACCUGGAAUGGUUUUGUGCAUUUAUUUUCUAUCUUCUCUACAAAGAUGGGAGAAAGAAGGGGCUGGGCUGACUGUCCAGGGCUCUAUCUUCAGCACUCAGAACAGUACUAGGCCACAGCCAAGCCUAACAUAUUUCUUGGGUGAAUACUGUGAGUGGGAUCAGAACACAGGAGGGGCUGAAGAACAGAUGAAUUGGGUCUUCUUCCUGGCUCUCCAUUAACUAGCAGUAUCCACUUGGAAACCCUGCUUUAGUUUUUCUCC